AGUCCUGGUCCUGAAUAUUCCAGACAGAGCAUGAGUGGAUGAAAUGGAGUUUCACAGGAUUUCUCUUCACAUAGGCAGAGGAGAGAUGGCUUUCCUGAGCCACAGGAGUUUGCAACCCUGUGAUGGGAUGACCUGAGACCUUGUUUUCCAUGGGUGCUGUUACACUGCUGUUGGAAGAACACCAGGAGAUGCUCAGCUUCUUGACAGACUGUCAGUGUAAAGCUUUCUCCUGGGCAUGAGACAGUGGCCAAGAUACACACAGAGGCACACUGGAAACGCAGUAGAAAACGGCUGCCAAUUUAAAACCAGAAGUUAAGAAGAGCAAACUCGAAUGUACAGCAAGAGAGCUUCAGGCUGGACUGGCUUCCAGCAGAAGCAGGACUGGAAACCUUGGAUUCCAUCGUCUCUUCUCUGUGAAGUAGGGAAACAUGUCAGUAUCUG